GGUGGGAGGCUUUGAAGUGUGGACGCCAGUCUGCAUGGAGCCGACCUUGAAAUACCACCCUUUAAUGUUUGAUGUUCUAACGUGGACCCGUAAUCCGGGUUGCGGACAGUGUCUGGUGGGUAGUUUGACUGGGGCGGUCUCCUCCUAAAGAGUAACGGAGGAGCACGAAGGUUGGCUAAUCCUGGUCGGACAUCAGGAGGUUAGUGCAAUGGCAUAAGCCAGCUUGACUGCGAGCGUGACGGCGCGAGCAGGUGCGAAAGCAGGUCAUAGUGAUCCGGUGGUUCUGAAUGGAAGGGCCAUCGCUCAACGGAUAAAAGGUACUCCGGGGAUAACAGGCUGAUACCGCCCAAGAGUUCAUAUCGACGGCGGUGUUUGGCACCUCGAUGUCGGCUCAUCACAUCCUGGGGCUGAAGUAGGUCCCAAGGGUAUGGCUGUUCGCCAUUUAAAGUGGUACGCGAGCUGGGUUUAGAACGUCGUGAGACAGUUCGGUCCCUAUCUGCCGUGGGCGCUGGAGAACUGAGGGGGGCUGCUCCUAGUACGAGAGGACCGGAGUGGACGCAUCACUGGUGUUCGGGUUGUCAUGCCAAUGGCACUGCCCGGUAGCUAAAUGCGGAAGAGAUAAGUGCUGAAAGCAUCUAAGCACGAAACUUGCCCCGAG
rnacentral:rRNA from 1 species